UGCAGCUUAGUUUAUUUAGAACGGUCAACUUGCACUUUACAAGAGAGGUUUCUCAGCAGCGG
rnacentral:tRNA from 1 species